rnacentral:lncRNA from 1 species
AACAGCAGAGUAGCUUAGCCGCAACAAAGACCACAAGGCUUUCAGAACUGAAAAUGCAUAUUUGACAAUUUACAAAAAAACGUUUGCCAGUCCAUGGUCUAGUUUAACACAGGCUGGAGAAAUAAUUCUACAUAAUUAAAACUGAGCUUUAAAAUGUGGAAAUACAAAAGACUGAAAUGGCAGUCAUCAUAUCUACUCUAAGUUUUCUCAGACCCAGAAGACACAGAAUGUCAGCACUAUUUUGAUUUUUUUUUUUCAUAUUCAAGCACAGUGUAACAAGGCCAGAGUGCCUGCUGGACAAGGUCCCUGAGUUAGGGCAUGCUCUCUUCUAGUUUUUCUUUUUAUACAUCACCACCUCACAGAUCACCAUCACCACUGUCCAUUCACAUGGAGGUAACUCCUUUGAGUUUCCACUGCUAUGCCCUUCGGUCUCUUAUGCCAAAUGGCACAGAUAGAUUACAGACGAAUGAUUGAUAAAGACAGAUAUAUAGAUGAUAGAUAAAAAUGGACUGAUAGAUUACUUAACAAUAGAUAGAUAAGAUGAAUUAAGAUGAAUUUAGAUGAAAGCAGAAUUGGGGAAGUUUGAGAACUACCAAUAACAUCAGACAUUAGAAUAUGAAUCAAGGUAUUUCUCAGAACAGAACACUUAUUGUUCCACAUAAGCUUAUUUAUCUUAUAUGUACAUUGGUAUGCUGUUUCUGAAUUUAUCUUAAGACCAUAGAAAAACAAUAACUAUGUUUUAGUGAUGGUAUGCACUACAAGAAGUGCAAUCAUGCUGCUUUCCUGCAUGAUCAUCAUGGGAGUUGACAUGUGGAAAUUAUGAGAAAUGUGAAAAAACACACCAUUUGAAUCAAAUAGAUAAAAUUGGAAGAUUCACAUCAUCUUCCUCGAAUUGUGAAGUUGUAAGGUGCCUAUAUCCCAUUUAUAUUCAAUCAAAAAUGGUAUUUCAAGAGCUAGAUCAAUUCUAUGUUAGGAGAACUCACCAAAUGUCUACAACACAGCACAAUUCACAAAACAUAACAUAAGCCUAUGUUUUGACCCUAAUAUUUUCAAUUAAUUAAAUAAAAUCUUUUUACCCUGCUUUUUCUCAUUAACAGUCAUCCAUUCACUUUCUAAUUUACUCUUUCACUGUAAAUACCAUGAAGGCAAAUUUAGUCAUUUAAAAUGGAUUAAUAAUUUUCUGUUUCACUUUCCAGGAUGUGAUAUACAAAACUGUGAAAGAGAUACAAACAGCAACACAUAAAACUGGUAACAGUUCUAUCUUUGUUAAAGUAUCUACCACAUCCUGAUUUGCCAAUCAAAACUUCUGUUUCAACUAUUUGUUAUAUCAACUACUCAAAGAAGAAAGUGGUUACAUUUUAUUUGUAGCCUUUAGACAAAAGCCACAUGCAUCGACUCAUUUCAGAUGGCCAGAAUGUCCACCAUGGGGUAGCUCACUUAUUCUCUCUUCCGGCAAGAUCAGAGCUCGCUACACCCCUUUGCUU